CAAUGGUAGACGGAGUCCAAUUAGAACUGCCAGAACUGCCAAUUAAAAGAGUCUGUGGAUGUGUACACAUUGGACGUUCUAGCAUUGAAUAUUUUUGUAAGGACUUGCUUGUUGAUCAGCGUUCUGCAACUCGCGCUUACCAUUACGACCUACUAUCUGUCCAUUCGAUAUAUUAUUUUCCGUCGAACCACAAUGCACGACAGCCACAUCCGUGGGCGAUGGCGGACCAUUUCUGCCGUUUUUUUGCAAUGCAACCGCUUUGCGGGCAUGUCGAGUGGUCAACACACCAGUUUCCACAUCCCGCUCCAAGCGAUGACCUGCAAGAAACCAAAACAAUAAGCAUUUUACUGAUAAUCUAAAGAAAUAUAUGAACCUGAUCGUGAUCUGGUCAGCUGACGUUGCACAUAAUCCUCAAGAUCUUCUUCCUCCUUGCGGCUAAUUAAGCAGUUAAGAACUAGUAGAAAUAGACCCAAGCCGAAUGAAAAGAGUCCAGUACAAGUGACUUCAUUCCACCAAGCCGAGCUGGAACCUAAUUAAAAUGUGCAUUACUAUGAAAAUUCAAUCCUUUAAUAGGAUCAUUGGCUUACUGAACACGUUCCAGGACAUGGUCUCAUCCGGUAUAAUGCCAGCGCCACAGAGGAAAACGCCAAACACAAUGAACACGAUACCAAUAUGCAACAUACCAAUGCUUGUCACCACCUGGAAUUGGAUUAAAUAUUACAUGUUACUCCAUGCAGGGAUUUUCGAUACAAACCUGACUAUCUAUGCCUGGUCCCGGCUUGACGGCAUGGUGUGGGUGGUGAUAUUUACGUCUCACCGAUCC